rfam:Trametes pubescens strain FBCC735 TRAPTBscaffold_1387, whole genome shotgun sequence.
ACACCGAUGGUGAAGUGGUUAUCAUGCUUGCCUUCCAUCUGCGCCUGGCAGUGUAAGCAAGCGGCACGGGUUCGAUUCCCGUUCGGUGUA